AUUGAACGCUGGCGGCAGGCUUAACACAUGCAAGUCGAGCGGGGAAAGGUAGCUUGCUACCUGACCUAGCGGCGGACGGGUGAGUAAUGCUUAGGAAUCUGCCUAUUAGUGGGGGACAACAUUCCGAAAGGAAUGCUAAUACCGCAUACGCCCUACGGGGGAAAGCAGGGGAUCUUCGGACCUUGUACUAAUAGAUGAGCCUAAGUCAGAUUAGCUAGUUGGUGGGGUAAAGGCCUACCAAGGCGACGAUCUGUAGCGGGUCUGAGAGGAUGAUCCGCCACACUGGGACUGAGACACGGCCCAGACUCCUACGGGAGGCAGCAGUGGGGAAUAUUGGACAAUGGGCGAAAGCCUGAUCCAGCCAUGCCGCGUGUGUGAAGAAGGCCUUUUGGUUGUAAAGCACUUUAAGCGAGGAGGAGGCUACUUGGAUUAAUACUCUAGGAUAGUGGACGUUACUCGCAGAAUAAGCACCGGCUAACUCUGUGCCAGCCGCCGCCGUAAUAC
rnacentral:rRNA from 1 species